CCUGAGCUGAGUUGGCACACAUGCACAGUGAUUCUGCAACAUGGUUACUCUAUCCACAGAUAACUGAACUUGAUUGUAAUAGAUGGUCGUUAGUGGAGGAGGUAAGAUGUCUGUUGUUCGCAACAGGCUCUCAAAACUCAGGAAGAGAAGAAAAUACAAACUCCUUUACAUUCCAGAGAUGUGUGAACUGCUUAAAGUCACUGCUUCUGAAAACUUUGGUAGCAAGUGAAAGCAUUGGUGGACAGUGAAUAUGCUAAACAAUCCAGCUGUACUGUCCAACAGCACCAGCAGCAGUGACACACAUUGUGUGAUAAGAAGAUUAGCAGCUGUGGCUCAGGGUGGGAAACCCAAAGCACAAAUCUUUUUGUCUUGUUACACGUUCUUAUGAUUUUUUCUUUAAUAUUAUUCCACAGGGAUUGUUUGUUUCCUUCAUUGAAUUCAAUUGUUCGUUCUGAUGGAAAGGUAUCAGAUAAAAAAUAAGACAAUCAAAAACGCCACGCAGCUAUACACAUUCUGCAGGAGCACACUCUGAAUGUCGCUGCUGUAUUUAAUGCUCAGCUGGAUGGCUGAGAGCUCAAAAUGGCUGUCGAGAUAAGAUUUCUCAUUCUCAAGUCAUUGUGCAGGGCCAGCUGGCACCUCGUGGGACAUUGUCAACGUGACACGGCACAGAGCAAACCCCCGAGCCUUCCACUUCCAGCAGCUACAAGGCACUAUGCAUCGCCUCCUCUACACGCAAAGACGCUGAGAAUUGGAUCAUCUGCCUUCAUUAUUCUUAUGGGAGCACAGAAGGAUCUGAAAACUGUGGUCAAGCCAGACGCUAAGCCCACUCGGAUAAUACACCUUUUAUUGAAGGUAUGUCUGCUCUAUCAGUCAAGCUCAAGCCUGAACCUCUUCUUAAAACUAAACACAUGCACAGUGUAUUAACAUAUGCAUCUUGUGGAGAAGAGGUUCCUUUUAGCUCUGAAGUAAUGUAUUCUGGGCAGGCUAGGUGCUGGUGUGAUUACCAGAGCCCAGUGGGUUUGCUGUAUGCUCGCUACAGGGAGCAGGUGUAUGCAGCCAGGUAAAAGCAGUAUGUGAUUUCAG
ensembl:lncRNA